CUGCUUUGAGCGUUCCUAUUGAAGAUAUAUCAGGAAAAGCGCUUCGGAUGCAUGAAAUUUAUAAGGUGUUUGUGUUUGAAAUUUUACUCGGAGUUCAGUAUUUUUGUUAGAUUACUUUUUCUAUGUCCUUUAAGUCCUCGGCGGAUACCGCUUCUUGUGAACUACCAGUUCCAUUUGCGGAUCCAGGGGGUCCGGGGUUGGAACCCCUUUUUUUGGCCGAUCAAUGCUUUUGAAUGGGAGCAUAUUGCUGGAACCCCUCCUUUUACUCUGGGUUGGGAACACACACCCUUUAAAAAAUGGCUGGAUCCGCCCCCGAGUUCCUUGUGAUAUCAUCAGCUUAAUAUUUGGUACUUUGGUCCUGUCUUUAUUUAAAACAAACCUUUCUAAAAUUUUCCGUUGUUUGAAAAUUUAGAAAUAAUCAAGAAACUUAAGUUUCAACUGCCUUAGCAUUACUCACUGCCAACCAGAAUUACACACCCUUUGAUACUGUUAUAUUGAUACCAUGUAAAUAAGCAUGUAUAAUCGUGUCAUUUAUAACAGAACUGUUGAUAUAUUGUGUGAAUCAAAAUGUAAACGC
rnacentral:lncRNA from 1 species